AAGGUCGGAGAGCACUCUAAGUGGUGAUACCAACCAAUAGGCUCGAGUCAGGGAUGGAUAAAGGGAAAGAAGUUGGGCUCCUGCUUUGAGCAUGGAGCUCCAGUCUUCACCAUCAGCUUUGGAUAUCCAUCUCCAGGCAUCCAACAUAGAUGCUCACAUGGAACCUUACAGUGAAGUCCAGAUCUUCAAACUUUGGGCCCUCUGGCUCCCCAAGGCUUGUAGCUGGGAGCAAUGAUGAACACUUGGAAUCCCACCACUCCAAAGAGGCUAAGCCGGGAGGACUAUCCCUGGACAGAAGGCACCAGCAAGAAGUGGGAGAAGUUCACUGGUAAAAA